rnacentral:rRNA from 1 species
UGAGGAAUAUUGGUCAAUGGGCGCGAGCCUGAACCAGCCAAGUCGCGUGAGGGAGGACGGCCCUACGGGUUGUAAACCUCUUUUGCCGGGGAGCAACGGGCGUCACGUGUGGCGCCACUGAGAGUACCCGGAGAAAAAGCAUCGGCUAACUCCGUGCCAGCAGCCGCGGUAAUACGGAGGAUGCGAGCGUUAUCCGGAUUUAUUGGGUUUAAAGGGUGCGUAGGCGGAUCGUUAAGUCAGUGGUCAAAUUGAGGGGCUCAACCCCUUCCCGCCAUUGAAACUGGCGAUCUUGAGUGGAAGAGAAGUAUGCGGAAUGCGUGGUGUAGCGGUGAAAUGCAUAGAUAUCACGCAGAACCCCGAUUGCGAAGGCAGCAUGCCGGCUUCCGACUGACGCUGAAGCACGAAAGCGUGGGGAUCGAACAGG